rnacentral:tRNA from 1 species
UACCUAAAGAUUUUAUAAUCUCAUUAACAUCUUCAAUGUCAUGCUCUAAAAAUAAGCUAUUCAAGU